CGGGGCGUAGCGCAGUCCGGCAGCGCGUACGGUUCGGGACCGUAAGGUCGAAGGUUCAAAUCCUUUCGCCCCGACCA
rnacentral:tRNA from 2 species